AGUGAACGCUGGCGGUAGGCCUAACACAUGCAAGUCGAACGGAAGCACAGUAAGAGCUUGCUCUUACGGGUGGCGAGUGGCGGACGGGUGAGGCAUACAUCGGAUUCUACUUUUUCGUGGGGGAUAACGUAGGGACACUUACGCUACUACCGCAUACGACCUACGGGUGAAAGCAGGGGAUCUUCGGACCUUGCGCGAUACAAUGAGCCGAUGUCGGAUUAGCUAGUUGGCGGGGUAAAGGCACACCAAGGCGACGAUCCGUAGCUGGUCUGAGAGGAUGAUCAGCCACACUGGAACUGAGACACGGUCCAGACUCCUACGGGAGGCAGCAGUGGGGAAUAUUGGACAAUGGGCGAAAGCCUGAUGCAGCCAUGCCGCGUGAGUGAAGAAGGCCUUCGGGUCGUAAAACCCUUUUAUUGGGGAAGAAAAGAAGCGUGAUAAUCUCCCGCUGUUCUGACGGUACCCAAAGAAAAAGCAACGGCUAACUUCGUG
rnacentral:rRNA from 1 species